rfam:Astyanax mexicanus chromosome 22, whole genome shotgun sequence.
CUCCAGUUAUGGAGACAUGGUGCCUAAGACGAUCGCUGGGAAGAUUUUCGGCUCCAUCUGCUCCCUGAGCGGGGUGCUGGUAAUAGCCUUGCCUGUGCCUGUCAUCGUGUCCAAC